rnacentral:rRNA from 1 species
GCUGAACGCUCGCGGCGUGCUUAACACAUGCAAGUCGAAUGGUGAAGGCGGCGCUUGCUCUGCUGGAACCGUGGCGAACGAGUGAGUAACACGUGAGCAAUCUGCCCCUGCCCCUGGGAUACUCCCUCGACACGGCGUCUAAUACUGGACACGAGCUGCCCAUGCAUCUUCAGCUGCUGGCAAGAACUUCGGUCAGGAAUGCGCUCCCCGCCUAACAGCUUGUUGGUGAGGCAACGGCUCACCAAGGCGUCGACGGGUAGCCGGCCUGAGAGGGUGACCUGCCACACUGCGACAGAGACACGGCCCGGACACGUACGGGGGGCAGCAGUGGGGGAUAUUGCACGAUGGGCGAAAGCCUGAUGCAGCAACGCCGCGUGAGGGACGACGGCCUUCGGGUUGUAAACCUCUUUUAGCAGGGAAGAAGCGAUAGUGACGGUACCUGCAGAAAAAGCGCCGGCUAACUACGUG